AAAAAAAAGUUUAUCUGAAUUUUUUGUUUGAAUAACUACUUCUGAUUCUACCACUCAUUUUGAAUGGCUGGAAGUCUGUUCGGUCCUCUUUCUCCCUGAUCCAGGUCCAUCCCACACACUCUCUGAAUUACCUUUCACUUUCUACAUGUUGGUUAGUUAUCCACAUGAGUUUCUUGUAGUCUGUAAAUUCUUUGUCAGGCACAGUUUUGUUUUUCGGGGUUAUUUUUUUUUUGCCUGAGUGAACCCAGCACUGUCCCGGGCUUAUUAAACACUUGCCAGAGAGAGGCAUGAUGGGAAAAUAAAGCUUUUAAAGAAAAUUUCCAUGGAAAAAUUGGAGACCAUUGUCCUAGGAAACAGAAUGAGAAGAAUAAUGCUCAGCCAGCCCAGGCUGAUUUUAUGUACUCAGUUAUGUACUUUACACUGCCUCAACGUCACAGUGUUUUUGGCUGCUUCUCCGGGAGGCUCCUGUGCUGCGUGUCACCGCCUGCAGGAUGUUCAGACAGAACGAAGGAGACCAAGUCCGGAGCUGUGUGAGCCAGAAAGAAGAGCCUGAGGUAUCUAGGCAACCUUGCACAUUCUGACUAAUUGAUGGCAUCACAGAAUCCUUGAACCAGAGCUGGGACUCCAGGGGGGCAGACGAGCCAACUCUGGAAUUACCCCUGGCAAUGGAGGGCCCAGACCAGCUCUUCCCCAACAGAGCUCACUCCUGAUCUGCCACCUGUCCUGGCGUCUGAGAUCUUCCUGCAGAAGGAGCAUUUAUUUAUCUGUGGUACUGAGGAUUGAACCCUGGACCUUGCACUUGCUAAGCAAGCACCUGACCGUGGACAUAUACCCCCAGCCAAGAAGCAGAAUGUAAAUCAUUCCUCUCUAACCUGCACCAUUUUCACCUAGAAAGUCAUUUUAUACGAUGCAAUUAAUACUC